CUUGCACCAAUGGGGUCCCUCAGCCGGGCCUGUGCCCUCUUGCAAUCUAGCACCCCUCAGGGGAUGUCUGAGAGCUGGUUCUGGCAAGAUUCUGCAGGCCAGGCUGAGGGACCCCACUAGUGCACA
rnacentral:pre_miRNA from 1 species